rnacentral:lncRNA from 1 species
UCUAUACAUGACAUAACCCACCAGAUUCCUCCUAGACGAUGCUAUUGGGUGCAGAUAAACCCAAGGCAUGUGUCUGCCAUUAAAACCCCUACCAUUGCAUGAAUGAACAAUGAUAAUCACUUUUGUUUUCUCCUUCCUUAGACAUAUUUUUCCACAUUUUCCUUCCCAUGCAUGAAUGAUAACCCACCAUUAACUAACCUUUUAACAUUAGACCAGAC